CCUACGGGAGGCAGCAGUGAGGAAUCUUGGUCAAUGGGCGCGAGCCUGAACCAGCCAAGUCGCGUGAGGGAAGACGGUCCUAUGGAUUGUAAACCUCUUUUGUCGGGGAGCAAAAGACGCCACGCGUGGCGUUCCGAGAGUACCCGAAGAAAAAGCAUCGGCUAACUCCGUGCCAGCAGCCGCGGUAAUACGGAGGAUGCGAGCGUUAUCCGGAUUUAUUGGGUUUAAAGGGUGCGCAGGCGGAAGAUCAAGUCAGCGGUAAAAGUGAGAGGCUCAACCUCUUCGAGCCGUUGAAACUGGUUUUCUUGAGUGAGCGAGAAGUAUGCGGAAUGCGUGGUGUAGCGGUGAAAUGCAUAGAUAUCACGCAGAACUCCGAUUGCGAAGGCAGCAUACCGGCGCUCAACUGACGCUCAUGCACGAAAGUGUGGGUAUCGAACAGGAUUAGAUACCCCUGUGGUC
rnacentral:rRNA from 1 species